CGCAGCCGCACCGCCGCGCUCGGGUACGCACCCGACGAAGAGGUGCGCCUGUCCUUCAUCGUGAACGCACGCGGCCGGCCCGACAUCCCGCUCCUCGAGGGAUUCUACGGGAACGCCUUCGCCUACUCCGUCGCGGCGGCCACCGCCGGGGAGCUCUGCGGCGGGGACCUCGGUUUCGCGCUGGAGCUCGUGAAGAAGGCCAAGUCGGCGGUGACCUACGACUACCUGGUGUCGGUGGCGGACCUGAUGGUGCUGACGGGGCGGCCGCUGUUCGAGGUGUCGAGAACGUACAUCGUGUCGGACAUCAGCCACGCCGGGUUCAAGAGCAUCGACUUCGGCUGGGGUGAGGCCGUCUACGGCGGGCCGGCGAAAGGCGGCGAAGGGCCGCUCCCCGGCGUCACCAACUACUUCUCAAGGGCCAAGAACGGCAAGGGGGAGGAAGGCACCGUCGUGCCCAUCUGCCUGCCCAAGGACGCCAUGGAGAAGUUCCAGCUCGAGGUGGAAGGCCUCACCGCCGAGCUCUAGGCGAUCCACCGCCGCGCACCGGCCGGCCGGCCGGGGUACAUGCAUAUAUACAUGUCAGGGUGUGCGCAUGCAUAACAAUAGCCUACCAAGGAAGGCAUGAGCGCAACUUUACACUACUGUAGAUAGAACGUCGUCAUCAAGUACGUACACCAUAAAUGCGUCCUG
rnacentral:lncRNA from 1 species